rfam:Angomonas deanei Cont13839, whole genome shotgun sequence.
ACCUCAAGUUGCACCGUUGCGAGAUAUCACCCAUUAACUUAUCGGCGGACUUGCUUGAUGGAGA